CAUCUUCCUCUGCAGCAUGUUUUGAUGUCAGCUCAUUCACAGGAAAGAAACAAUCACAUCUCAGUGCCCAGAAUGGGGACCAAUAGGAGAGGUCACUGGGAAUAAAGCCCACAUGCACCCCAGGGUCCAUGAGCUCCCCAGAAACUCAGGUGGCCUCCUCCAGAGCCAACAAGCCUAAGUUGCUGAUCGGCCCCUCCCUGCUUCCCUCUGUGGAAGAGGAAACAGAGGCCCAGACUAGUAGGGCUCUGCCGUGGUGGCCGGCUGCGUCCCCAGACCUCUGGUCCCAGGGCUGGCUGGGAGUGCCCCUCCCUGUGCUCACUUCCUGCUCUCCUGGGAAAUGGCUCAGGGAUGGGGCGUGUGGGGACAGAUGCUGGCAUAGCUCACAAAAUGCUUGCACAAGGGACACUCCAUGGCAGGUCCCUGCAGCAGAGCAAAGUCACAACAUUCAGAGAUUCCCUGCACUCUGAGGCCCGCAGAGCCUGGCCGACCAAGCGAGGCUGGGAGGAUGGUGCCCGCUGGUCAGGGCGGCUGAGCAAGGCUGGGAGGAUGUUGCCUGCUGGUCAGGGCAGCCCUCUGGUCAGGGUGGCCAAGCGAGGCAGGGAGGGAGGUGCCCACCGGUCAGGGCAGACGAACAAGGCUGGAAAGAUGGUGCCUGCUGGUCAGGGCGGCUGAAUGAGGCUGGGAGGAUGGUGUCUGCUGGUCAGGGCAGCUCAGGAGGUGCUGCCCAGGAGGUGCUGUCCAGGCAGAGCCUAGGGCUGGUGUGGGUGUGCCAUGCUCCUGAGAAGUUUCUGGGUUGUGGCUUUAAUGUUCUCCUGCAGUGAGAACGCUGACACUUGGCCAAAGGGUCCUCACCUCUCCCGUAGUACACUUCUGAGAUGCUAGGAAGGUUCUGAACAUCAGAUUGAUUCCUGGGACUCCCCUCCAGGGUGGCCUUACUGGAGUCAGGAGCCCCUGCCCCACUAGGAUGGCUCUGCAGUGGCCUGAGGACAGUGAGCACUGGUCACUGGUGCAAAGUUGCCCACUGUGAUGGUUUUGACCUUUGAUGGGAACCAAAUGAAAGCCCUGCAGCUAUUUCUAGGCAUUUCAGAGGGUGCUUCCCUGCAUGUACUCUGCGGCAGACCAUCCUCCCUGGGCCAGGAGCCCGCUACACAGAAGGAGAUUCUUUUUCUUCUCUUUUGAGCACUUUUAUUCUCUUUUUCUUAAUCUCUGCUCCUCCUCUGAACUGACGAAUGUGCAAAUCUUUUUUGUUAGUUUUGAGGUUGCUUCUUAUGCAUAUUUCAUCUGGAACUUUCCCCUCUGGGGGUGAUCUGUUCUAUCAGCCUGCCCGCUGCUAGAGAGGCCGAGGUGGUCUGGCCAGCCGUGCGCUGCUGCUGGUGUCUCUGUGGGCAUGACCUGGUGAGAUAUCAUUCUGCAUCUGGGGGUCCAUCCUAUCAGCCCUGUGUUCUAGAUUCCCCAGUGACUGACAUUUAGCCAGUCUCCUCUGUCACUCUCCAGUGACAUGUACACACUGUUGGCACGAACUGCAGAUGUCACGUUCCGUGGCUGAGAGCCUCAGUGUGCAUCUGUAGUAGGAGGAUGUCAGUGAGGACUGUCCUGUCGCUGCUGAGCUGGCACCGACUGUGCCUGGUCUACACUCCAGGUCUGCCAAACAACCCAGCAAGGUCCUUCACAACUCUUCUGAUCCGGGAUCACACAUCACUUGUGCUUUGAUGCCUGCUUCCGAACAAUUUUACCUCCUGAGAUGUCCAUUUUUGGGAGUGUGAGCCCUCCUCUCCUGGUGACAGCUGGCUGAGGCUGUCCAGCCUCAGGACACACAGGGAAUGGCUGCAUAAGGAGAUCUGGGGCAGGGGGCCCACCAGGAUGUUCUGCCCUGUGGGGGGCAACGCCGGCUGUGGUCUGCCGGCGGCAUCCAGGGACAGUCUAUCUAGGUGAGGCUGAGGCCGCCCCCGCUCGCUCCCUCACCCCCAUGCUGACAGCAGUGAGCUGACCACAGACUGGGGGAGCCCCACAGGGAGACUGGCCUCCCCAGCACAUGCCCCGUAGUGCCAGACAGGGUCAUCACAGAGGCAGGUACACGACACCACGGACGUGCCACGUACCCCCCAUCGGGACCAAGGACCACUGAGAAACCAUGAAGGCCAUGCAGCGACUGUGGUGGCAGGACCGUCAGGAGGCCAUAGGUGCCACGGCUCCCCUCUGGUGGUUCACCUGCCCACCUGCACCUGGGGUGGCCCCUCCAGUGCGCUCCCGAGAGCAGAACACCCCCCAGGCAACACGUCUGAUGAAGGCCAACAGCGUGAGUCCUCUGGUGUUUGGUGACAUCAAAGCUGUGCCGAAAGGCCUUCCCUCACUGCUAACACUUGAAAGGCUUCUGUCCGGUGUGGAUCCUCUGAUGGCGAAUGUGGUCUGUCUUAUGCUUAAAGAUCCACCUCCAUUAACUGCACUCUUAGGGUUUCUUCCUCUGAAAAGGAAUGAACACGGGAACCCCCUCAAAGGCAUUUUUAAAUGAAGCAUGGAAGGCAUCAAAGAUGUGCUCUUCUUCAGGACUCAGGCUUCUCCAUCGUUCUCUGUUCCUUGGAAGCGUGAGGGCUAAGGAGCUGCUGACUUCUCUCUGUUGGCCCCACUUCAAGAAAGGCUUGCUUCCCACACACCUCUCCACGCUCCCAGUGCGGGACUGACACUCUGCACCGGGAGGCCAAGGGCCACCAUCGUCUUGCUGGGAGAAGGUGUGACGUUUCUUGGUCAUAGGAGGGAGUGUGAUCUGACACCAGAGGACUUAAUAUAACACUGCAGUGUUAACAUCUUCACUGGCAGAUUCAUGGACUUUCCUCCUCCUGAAUGCAUUUCAACACCUUGAAAUGAACGAUGCCUCAUGUCUCUACAGGGUGGACAUAGCUCUAACUGUGAAGCUGGUGAGAAUGUUGAAGCCUAGGGGUGCCUUUUGAACGACAUAAAUUUGGGCCCUGAAGUGGUAGUGGGGAGGUGGGAUAGGAGAAA